GGGGUGCACCGGCCGUCUCGUCCCUUCUGCCGGUCAUGCGAUCCUGGCCUAACUGGCCCGGGUCGCGCCCCCUGCGCUGUUACUUUGAAGAAAUUAGAGUGCUCAAAGCAAGCCUACGCUCUGGAUACAUUAUCAUGGGAUAACAUCAAAAGAUUCCGAUCCUAUUCUGUUGGCCGUCGGGAUCGGAGUAAUGAUUAAAAGGGACAGUCGGGGGCUUUCGUAUUUCAUAGUCAGAGGUGAAAUUCUUGGAUUUAUGAAAGACAAACAACUGCGAAAGCUUUCCCAAGGAUGUUUUCAUUAAUCAAGAACGAAAAUAGGGGGCUCGAAGAAAUCAUAUUACGUCCUAGUCUCAACCAUAAACGAUGCCGACCAGGGAUCAGCGGAUGUUACUUUUAGGACUCCGCGGGCACCUUAUGAGAAAUCAAAGUCUUUGGGUUCCGGGGGGAGUAUGGCCCCAAGGCUGAAACUUAAAGGAAAUUGACGGAAGGGCACCACCAGGAGUGGAGCAUGCGGCUUAAUUUGACUCAACACGGGGAAACUUACCAGGUCCAGACAUAGUAAGGAUUGACAGAUUGAGAGCUCUUUCUUGAUUCUAUGGGGGGUGGUGCAUGGCCGUUCUUAGUUGGUGGAGCGAUUUGUCUGGUUAAUUUUGUUAAUGAACGAGACCUCAGCCUGCUAACAAGCUAUGCGGAGGUAUCCCUCCGUGGCCAGCUUCUUAGAGGGACUAUGGC
rnacentral:rRNA from 1 species